GAUGAACGCUGGCGGCGUGCCUAAUACAUGCAAGUCGAGCGAACGGACGAGAAGCUUGCUUCUCUGAUGUUAGCGGCGGACGGGUGAGUAACACGUGGAUAACCUACCUAUAAGACUGGGAUAACUUCGGGAAACCGGAGCUAAUACCGGAUAAUAUUAUGAACCGCAUGGUUCAAAAGUGAAAGACGGUCUUGCUGUCACUUAUAGAUGGAUCCGCGCUGCAUUAGCUAGUUGGUAAGGUAACGGCUUACCAAGGCAACGAUGCAUAGCCGACCUGAGAGGGUGAUCGGCCACACUGGAACUGAGACGCGGUCCAGACUCCUACGGGAGGCAGCAGUAGGGAAUCUUCCGCAAUGGGCGAAAGCCUGACGGAGCAACGCCGCGUGAGUGAUGAAGGUCUUCGGAUCGUAAAACUCUGUUAUUAGGGAAGAACAUAUGUGUAAGUAACUGUGCACAUCUUGACGGUACCUAAUCAGAAAGCCACGGCUAACUACGUG
rnacentral:rRNA from 1 species